GGCUUCUCAGCUCAGGUCGAGCAUCGCACCGGCAUCGCGGAGGUCACGGGUUCGAAUCCCGUUGAAGCCC
rnacentral:tRNA from 1 species